AUGUACGAGUUUGAUCAUGGCUCAGGAUGAACGUUGCGGCGUGCCUAACACAUGCAAGUCGAACGGAAAUAGCAAUAUUUGAGUGGCGCACGGGUGAGUAACACGUAGCUAAUCUACCUCAAAGCGCGGGAUAACGUGUCGAAAGACAGGCUAAUACCGCAUAAGCUCACAAAAAGUAGAGGAUUGUGAGAAAAGGCGCAAGUCACUUUGAGAUGAGGCUGCGGCCCAUCAGCUAGUUGGUGCGGUAAAAGCGCACCAAGGCGACGACGGGUAGGGGACCUGAGAGGGUGACCCCCCACACUGGGACUGAGACACGGCCCAGACUCCUACGGGAGGCAGCAGUGGGGAAUAUUGCACAAUGGGGGAAACCCUGAUGCAGCGACGCCGCGUGAGUGAAGAAGUAUUUCGGUAUGUAAAGCUCUAUCAGCAGGGAAGAAAAUGACGGUACCUGACUAAGAAGCCCCGGCUAACUACGUG
rnacentral:rRNA from 1 species